rnacentral:tRNA from 1 species
GCCGGAGUAGCUCAGUUGGUUGAGAGCACGCGUCUCAUAAGCGCGGGGUCGACGGUUCGAGUCCGUCCUCCGGCACCA